GACAGAGGGUGCAAACGUUGUUCGGAAUUACUGGGCGUAAAGCGCGUGUAGGCGGCUUGGCAAGUCGGGUGUGAAAGCCCCGGGCUCAACCUGGGAAGUGCACUCGAAACUGCUUCGCUGGAGUGCCGGAGAGGGAAGCGGAAUUCUCGGUGUAGAGGUGAAAUUCGUAGAUAUCAGGAGGAACACCUGCGGUGUAGACAGCUUUCUGGACCACUUCUGACGCUGAGACACGAAAGCGUGGGUAGCAAACAGG
rnacentral:rRNA from 1 species